rnacentral:rRNA from 1 species
UAAUUAGGUGGCGAGCGUUGUCCGGAAUUACUGGGUGUAAAGGGCGUGUAGGCGGGGCGGCAAGUCAGAUGUGAAAUUCCGGGGCUUAACCCCGGCGCUGCAUCUGAAACUGUCGUUCUUGAGUGUCGGAGAGGAAAGUGGAAUUCCCAGUGUAGCGGUGAAAUGCGUAGAGAUUGGGAGGAACACCAGUGGCGAAGGCGGCUUUCUGGACGAUAACUGACGCUGAGGCGCGAAAGCGUGGGGAGCAAACAGG